rnacentral:lncRNA from 10 species
CUUUUCCACUUGGCAUGUUCAUGGGGCUAUUUACAAAGAAAGAGGACUUUUAACUGCUGGAGGAAAAUAAACAAAGUACAGGAAGAAAUUCUACAGCUCUUAGACACCGUAUGGGCCACAAAGCAGGUGGCAGUGAUGCACUGUAGGUGGCACCAGAGGGCAGGAACAUUAGAGGCUAAAGGAAAUAGAAAGGCAGACACAAAGGCAAAGUGGGCUGCAAUGAUGACUCCACCUUCUAAAGAGGAAGCCUUAACUAUGCCUCUCCUCCCAGAGAUCCCCCUCUCGGAGACCCUAAGCUACACUCCAAAUGAAAGAGCUUAGUUUGCUCAGGAAAAUGGAAGCUACGUUGAAGGAGAAUGGUGAAAAUUCUGCAAUGGGAGGCUAGUUGUACCUGAAAUAGUGGCCCAGAUAACGACCAUCUGGGCUGCAUGACAGGGUCCAGGUUGGCAUGGUCACAGUUCACUGUAACCUGAAACUUCUACGCUCAAAUGAUCUUCCCACCUAAGCCUCUCAGUCUCCCGAGUAGCUGGGACUGCAGGUGCAUGCCAUCACGUUUGGCUAAUUUUUAGUAUUUUGUGUAGAGAUGGGGUCUUGCUAUGCUGCCCAGGCUGGUCUAGAACUCCUGGCCUCGAGUCAUCCUCCUGCCUUGGCCUCCAAAAGUGCCGAGAUUACAUGUGUGAGCCACCAAUGUCUCCUUUAUUUAUUAUUCCUGCAAACUAAGCAAAUGGUUUAACUUAGAGCCUCAGUAUCUUUACCUGUGAAAUGGUAAUAAUAGUACCUACCUUAAAAGUUGGUGUUGGAUUAAAUGAAUAAGUUACCCUGAUCUGUUUCAUUGUCUACCAACAACAGAAUUGUUGAGGGAAUUAAUUAUAUCACAAUAAUUACAUAAAACCUAAUUGAUAUUAGUUUAAUAAAAAGUAAUGUAUAAAUGUUUGUUCUUUUCCAUUGCUAUAGCUAGAUUAAUAUUGAUCCAGAGCAUAGAAGGACCAUUCUUGCUUUUCCAAGUUAUUCAAUCUGGAUAGUUCACAAGUGAGCAACUAUACAUAAUUAACAACAACCUAACUAUUACAACUAUAUAGUUCUGAUAUGUCAGUUAUAAUAUCUGUUGAUUUAAUUAUCAAACCUCAAUGUAAUGGUUAUGAGCUUUUAAUAUUUCUUUCCCAUUUACCCAAAAGCUUUAAAUUACAUUUCUUUGAUAUGACAGAAAAUAGGAAAUGGAAACUAAGAGAUUAGAAUUAAAACAUAUUUACUAUCAUAGCUUUAAUAUAACCAUGGUUACAUUGUUUAAUGCACACGUAAAAGUAGCCAGGGACAGCUGGGUAGCCUGAGGUUCCCAUGCUAGGAAGGAGAGCAUCCUGCUAAGGAUUGGAGUUUAGAGACACACGAAUGAAAGUAUCUGUCAGGAUGGAAUGAUCUAGAUAUGAUGGCCAUGGAUCUUCAUUGAUAGAGAAACUGUCUUCUGUAUUAACUGACAGGAGAAAAGUGAAGAAAAGCAAAGGAUAUUCAAAUGACAGAUAAUUUGGCUGCAUAAGGGAAGAAUAGUUCUAACUUCAAAUCCAGCCCUUUCAUAUCUGUGUCUUAAUGUUGCUCCAUGUUUUAUGCCAAUCAAAUUUGAUAACAUGAACUAAGAUUUUUUAUAAGGUAUAGUGUAUGGAAAAAUAAUACAGCCUUAUUCUUAGGUAUCAACAGACUAUUAAACAAACUGUAAUCAUAAGAUAUGAAAUUGGGUUAUUUAUUACAGUGAUAAACCGCUGAACAUUGUGUGAAAAACGUAGGAUAGUUUUGCAUUAAUUUUAAGUUUUUAUAAAUUCUAUAAACAUUGGGAUUUAUUAAAAAACAGUGUUUUAACUGAUGAUAUUCUGUUGGAAUUUUCUAGCAAUAAAUGGGUGUUUUGUUCAACUCUUC